GCCAUCACAGCACAAAUAUGAACACUAUCAGCAUCUGCUUGUAUCAAAAGGGAAAAAUCAAGCUUCUUAGAUAUUGAGUGAGCAGUGUUCCCUUAGUAUGUCUUCCCCACUAUUCUGUCCCUCUGUAAGAUUUUGUUAAGAGCUCCAGAGAAGAGAGAGGCAGUAGUAGUUCUUGCUAGAAAGGGGCUCAAGAACUGUUAUUGUUUUUUCAUUAGACCUGAUGGAGGCUAUUCCAUGAGCCUUGGAUGGAGAGACACAUCAGGAUUUGCAGAUGGAGUGUGUGUGUGUUUAAGAGAGAGAGAGACAGAGAGAAAGAAAUGAAAAUUAAGGGCACCAGUGAAAACAGAAGACCUUCCAUUCUCAACAGACACUGCCUGGUGGCUUAG
rnacentral:lncRNA from 1 species